rnacentral:sRNA from 1 species
UUUUUACAAUCUUAACUCUGACAUUGUAGGAAGUAUUUUGUGUGUCAUUCUACUGUAUCAUUCACGAUGAACUUUGUUUGAAUUCAAACCAUACGGGAAUGAAUUUUAAGGAUACCUUCUUAAAUUGCAAUUGUGAUAAACAAUUGUUCUCGGUUGAGAAACUAAUCGUUAUUAUGUAAUAAAUUGUGUACCUGAUGAUCUAAAACAUUAAAUUGGUUUGGCUAUGCAGCAAUGACCGUCUAUACCGUGAUCAGUACAAUAUUUACAUAGCAGUCGAGAUCACAACUAUGGAGGAUGUUUUGACGUAUAACAUACAUGUAUACGGUUCACUGCACGAGUCCAUGAAAUCUUGUUAAUGAUAUAUUUUGAAGCAUAAUACUGCCUGUCCAAAGUUAAAUACAUUGUAUUUCUUUAACUUUGAUUGGCUGUCUGGGUCUUUGUUAUCAAUCGCUUCUUCUUCUUUGUUUGAAUACUUUGUCUACGUCUCAAAACAUUUACAUGUUAAACUAUCGUGGCAGAAUGGCCAUCAGAGUCAAAUAAAAUAUAUUCUUAGGUUACACAAGGCAGAUAUUAAUAUUUCAACGUAUCUAUUUCUAUCAUCAAAAUCUAUAUUUUCAAUACUGUAGAUUGUACAUGUACAUGUAACAUUUCCCUUGUUAAGCGUUUGCUAAAACAAUAACUCACAAACGCAAAGAAAUGACAAAUGUUCAAUAUUAAAUUGCUUUCUUUUUCUUCAUAUUAUACAUUAAGAUAAGAUAAUCAAAUGUAUUUCACUGAACAGAGCUUUCAGUAAGAAAACAUAUAAAACAUUUUACGUCUAAUCUUCAACAUUUCUACUUUAAUAUCCUGUCAUUGCGCUUUGUUCAAAAAUAAAGGAGCAUUUUCAAGCUGU